rfam:Triticum aestivum genome assembly, contig: Triticum_aestivum_CS42_TGACv1_scaffold_362517_4DS
GAAGUACUCCCUCCGUCCGAAAAAGCUUGUUCCUCAAAUGGAUGUAUCUAGCACUAACUUGUUGCUAGAUAUAUCAAUUUGAGGGACAAGCUUUUUCGGAUGGAGGGGGUAUGAU